CGGGGUGUGGCGCAGCCCGGUAGCGCGCUUGCUUUGGGAGCAAGAUGUCGAGAGUUCGAAUCCCUCCACCCCGA
rnacentral:tRNA from 1 species